AAAGAGUUACCAUAGCAACCUAUAUUGAUGUCACAAGCUCAGGCUUCUGACUUCAUUGCAUAAUGCAGUAGCAACUGGAUUUGCAGCAGAUACACCCUGCUAAAGAACAAGUAUCUUGGUUCACAGCAAAGAGGACAAAGGAAAACAGCAAGUUAUAGGGAGUUGAAUGCUGGAUUAGAUGGAAGGAGUGAAGAGAUGAGGAUGAAGGAAUGGGAGCUGCAGGAAAACAAAAUACAGAUCUGGAGACAGAUGAGAAAGAUGAGGAGCAUAAGGACAUCAUGACAUUUGGACUAACAUCCUACAGAAUUGUAGAGAAGGUCAAAUAUAAAACUCAAGCAAGGGAUCCCUGGGUGGCGCAGCGGUUUGGCGCAUGCCUUUGGCCCAGGGUGCAACCCAGGAGACCCGGGAUCGAAUCCCCUGUCGGGCUCCCGGUGCAUGGAGUCUGCUUCUCCCUCUGCCUAUGUCUCUGACUCUCUCUCUCUCUGUGUGACUAUCAUAAAUAAAUAAAAAUUAAGAAAAAAAUUAAAAAAAAAU
rnacentral:lncRNA from 1 species